GCCAGUGUGGCAUAGUGGUUUGAGCGUUGGACUGUGACUCUGCAGACCAGGGUUCAAUUCCCACUCAGCCA
rnacentral:tRNA from 1 species